rnacentral:rRNA from 1 species
ACUAAGCGUACACGGUGGAUGCCCUGGCAGUCAGAGGCGAUGAAGGACGUGCUAAUCUGCGAUAAGCGUCGGUAAGGUGAUAUGAACCGUUAUAACCGGCGAUUUCCGAAUGGGGAAACCCAGUGUGAUUCGUCACACUAUCAUUAACUGAAUCCAUAGGUUAAUGAGGCGAACCGGGGGAACUGAAACAUCUAAGUACCCCGAGGAAAAGAAAUCAACCGAGAUUCCCCCAGUAGCGGCGAGCGAACGGGGAGGAGCCCAGAGCCUGAAUCAGUGUGUGUGUUAGUGGAAGCGUCUGGAAAGGCGCGCGAUACAGGGUGACAGCCCCGUACACAAAAAUGCACAUGCUGUGAGCUCGAUGAGUAGGGCGGGACACGUGGUAUCCUGUCUGAAUAUGGGGGGACCAUCCUCCAAGGCUAAAUACUCCUGACUGACCGAUAGUGAACCAGUACCGUGAGGGAAAGGCGAAAAGAACCCCGGCGAGGGGAGUGAAAAAGAACCUGAAACCGUGUACGUACAAGCAGUGGGAGCACAGAGCAAUCUGUGUGACUGCGUACCUUUUGUAUAAUGGGUCAGCGACUUAUAUUCUGUAGCAAGGUUAACCGAAUAGGGGAGCCGAAGGGAAACCGAGUCUUAACUGGGCGUUAAGUUGCAGGGUAUAGACCCGAAACCCGGUGAUCUAGCCAUGGGCAGGUUGAAGGUUGGGUAACACUAACUGGAGGACCGAACCGACUAAUGUUGAAAAAUUAGCGGAUGACUUGUGGCUGGGGGUGAAAGGCCAAUCAAACCGGGAGAUAGCUGGUUCUCCCCGAAAGCUAUUUAGGUAGCGCCUCGUGAAUUCAUCUCCGGGGGUAGAGCACUGUUUCGGCAAGGGGGUCAUCCCGACUUACCAACCCGAUGCAAACUGCGAAUACCGGAGAAUGUUAUCACGGGAGACACACGGCGGGUGCUAACGUCCGUCGUGAAGAGGGAAACAACCCAGACCGCCAGCUAAGGUCCCAAAGUCAUGGUUAAGUGGGAAACGAUGUGGGAAGGCCCAGACAGCCAGGAUGUUGGCUUAGAAGCAGCCAUCAUUUAAAGAAAGCGUAAUAGCUCACUGGUCGAGUCGGCCUGCGCGGAAGAUGUAACGGGGCUAAACCAUGCACCGAAGCUGCGGCAGCGACGCUUAUGCGUUGUUGGGUAGGGGAGCGUUCUGUAAGCCUGNNNNNNNNNNNNNNNNNNNNNGCUGGAGGUAUCAGAAGUGCGAAUGCUGACAUAAGUAACGAUAAAGCGGGUGAAAAGCCCGCUCGCCGGAAGACCAAGGGUUCCUGUCCAACGUUAAUCGGGGCAGGGUGAGUCGACCCCUAAGGCGAGGCCGAAAGGCGUAGUCGAUGGGAAACAGGUUAAUAUUCCUGUACUUGGUGUUACUGCGAAGGGGGGACGGAGAAGGCUAUGUUGGCCGGGCGACGGUUGUCCCGGUUUAAGCGUGUAGGCUGGUUUUCCAGGCAAAUCCGGAAAAUCAAGGCUGAGGCGUGAUGACGAGGCACUACGGUGCUGAAGCAACAAAUGCCCUGCUUCCAGGAAAAGCCUCUAAGCAUCAGGUAACAUCAAAUCGUACCCCAAACCGACACAGGUGGUCAGGUAGAGAAUACCAAGGCGCUUGAGAGAACUCGGGUGAAGGAACUAGGCAAAAUGGUGCCGUAACUUCGGGAGAAGGCACGCUGAUAUGUAGGUGAAGUCCCUCGCGGAUGGAGCUGAAAUCAGUCGAAGAUACCAGCUGGCUGCAACUGUUUAUUAAAAACACAGCACUGUGCAAACACGAAAGUGGACGUAUACGGUGUGACGCCUGCCCGGUGCCGGAAGGUUAAUUGAUGGGGUCAGCGCAAGCGAAGCUCUUGAUCGAAGCCCCGGUAAACGGCGGCCGUAACUAUAACGGUCCUAAGGUAGCGAAAUUCCUUGUCGGGUAAGUUCCGACCUGCACGAAUGGCGUAAUGAUGGCCAGGCUGUCUCCACCCGAGACUCAGUGAAAUUGAACUCGCUGUGAAGAUGCAGUGUACCCGCGGCAAGACGGAAAGACCCCGUGAACCUUUACUAUAGCUUGACACUGAACAUUGAGCCUUGAUGUGUAGGAUAGGUGGGAGGCUUUGAAGUGUGGACGCCAGUCUGCAUGGAGCCGACCUUGAAAUACCACCCUUUAAUGUUUGAUGUUCUAACGUUGACCCGUGAUCCGGGUUGCGGACAGUGUCUGGUGGGUAGUUUGACUGGGGCGGUCUCCUCCUAAAGAGUAACGGAGGAGCACGAAGGUUGGCUAAUCCUGGUCGGACAUCAGGAGGUUAGUGCAAUGGCAUAAGCCAGCUUGACUGCGAGCGUGACGGCGCGAGCAGGUGCGAAAGCAGGUCAUAGUGAUCCGGUGGUUCUGAAUGGAAGGGCCAUCGCUCAACGGAUAAAAGGUACUCCGGGGAUAACAGGCUGAUACCGCCCAAGAGUUCAUAUCGACGGCGGUGUUUGGCACCUCGAUGUCGGCUCAUCACAUCCUGGGGCUGAAGUAGGUCCCAAGGGUAUGGCUGUUCGCCAUUUAAAGUGGUACGCGAGCUGGGUUUAGAACGUCGUGAGACAGUUCGGUCCCUAUCUGCCGUGGGCGCUGGAGAACUGAGGGGGGCUGCUCCUAGUACGAGAGGACCGGAGUGGACGCAUCACUGGUGUUCGGGUUGUCAUGCCAAUGGCACUGCCCGGUAGCUAAAUGCGGAAGAGAUAAGUGCUGAAAGCAUCUAAGCACGAAACUUGCCCCGAGAUGAGUUCUCCCUGACUCCUUGAGAGUCCUGAAGGAACGUUGAAGACGACGACGUUGAUAGGCCGGGUGUGUAAGCGCAGCGAUGCGUUGAGCUAACCGGUACUAAUGAACCGUGAGGCUUAACC